rnacentral:rRNA from 1 species
AGUUUGAUCAUGGCUCAGAGUGAACGCUGGCGGCAGGCCUAACACAUGCAAGUCGAGCGGCAGCGCGGGGGCAACCCUGGCGGCGAGCGGCGGACGGGUGAGGAAUACAUCGGAAUCUGCCUUGUUGUGGGGGAUAACGUAGGGAAACUUACGCUAAUACCGCAUGAGACCGUAAGGUGAAAGUGGGGGAUCGCAAGACCUCACGCGACAAGAUGAGCCGAUGUCGGAUUAGCUAGUUGGUGAGGUAAAGGCUCACCAAGGCAACGAUCCGUAGCUGGUCUGAGAGGAUGAUCAGCCACACUGGGACUGAGACACGGCCCAGACUCCUACGGGAGGCAGCAGUGGGGAAUAUUGGACAAUGGGCGCAAGCCUGAUCCAGCCAUGCCGCGUGUGUGAAGAAGGCCUUCGGGUUGUAAAGCACUUUUGUUGGGAAAGAAAUCCUGUCGAUUAAUACUCGGCGGGGAUGACGGUACCCAAAGAAUAAGCACCGGCUAACUUCGUG